UUACCUCGAGAAUUAUUUACUUAACCUCAAAAAUUUUCAGUUGAUCCGUCGAACCUUAUUUUUGGUAAGAGAUUUAUUAUGUCGCAGUCAACUUUGAAAUCCAACAAAUAUUGUGUUCCUAACUGUGGAGAUAUGUAUAGUAAACGUCAUCGUUUUCGAAUGAAGAGAAGCAGCCAACAAUUUUCAAACUUUGGCUCGAAAAAGUUAGUUAUCCAUUGCUCAACUCUAAAACUCCUCAACAAAUUUGUAAGAAGUGAAAUUAGAUAGCCUUAAAGGAAUUUGACAACUGCUAUCCCUGAAUUAUUUCUUCCUGGAUCUUCAAAUCAAGGGGAAGAUGGAGAAGUUCAUGACACUGAAGGAAUACAUCUCCAAAGUGAUGUUGAGAGGGAAGUAUCAACAGAGACUUUGAAGAAUUUUAAGCACCCUCAGAAAACUUCAAUAAUAUAUAGAAAAAGAUAUCGAGGACAACAAUUAAUUGACACUAGAGGCUGUGGGCACUGCAGAGCUGAUCAUUUUUAUGGAUAAGCUGUUUGAUAGUCUGAAUAUGCAAUUGUGAAGGACACAUUAAAAAUUUGGCAUACUAGAAAUAUUUAAAAAAAUGUAAAAUUUUAAAUAGAUGAUUUUUUUAUAUGAA